CCUACGGGAGGCAGCAGUAGGGAAUAUUGCGCAAUGGAGGAAACUCUGACGCAGCGACGCCGCGUGGGUGACGAAGGCUUUCGGGUCGUAAAGCCCUGUCGGAAGGGAAGAAAAACGGUAUGGCUAAUAUCCAUACCGCUUGACGGUACCUUCAGAGGAAGCACCGGCUAACUACGUGCCAGCAGCCGCGGUAAUACGUAGGGUGCUAGCGUUGUUCGGAAUCAUUGGGCGUAAAGCGCGUGUAGGUGGUUUGUUAAGUCGGGUGUGAAAUCCCUGGGCUCAACCGAGGAAGUGCAUCCGAAACUAACAAGCUAGAAGAUGGCAGAGGAAGGUGGAAUUCCAAGUGUAGAGGUGAAAUUCGUAGAUAUUUGGAGGAAUACCGGUGGCGAAGGCGGCCUUCUGGACCAUUCUUGACACUGAGACGCGAAAGCGUGGGGAGCAAACAGGAUUAGAUACCCUGGUAGUCCACGCUGUAAACGAUGGGUACUAGAUGUUGCAGGAAUUGACCCCUGCAGUGUCGACGCUAACGCAUUAAGUACCCCGCCUGGGAAGUACGGUCGCAGAUUAAAACUCAAAGGAAUUGACGG
rnacentral:rRNA from 1 species